rnacentral:rRNA from 1 species
CCUAAUGGGUGGCAGCAGUGAGGAAGAUUGGGCAAUGGGCGAGAGCCUGAACCAGCCAAGACGCGUGAGGGAGGACUGCCCUAUGGGGUGCAAACCUCUUUUGGCGGGGAGCAAAAGCCGGACGUGUCCGGCUGUGAGAGUACCCGAAGAAAAAGCAUCGGCUAACUCCGUGCAAGCAGCCGCGGUAAUACGGAGGAUGCGAGCGUUAUCCGGAUUUAUUGGGUUUAAAGGGGGCGCAGGCGGAUUUUUAAGUCAGCGGUCAAAUCGUGGGGCUCAACCCCAUCCAGCCGUUGAAACUGGGGAUCUAGAGUGUGCGAGAGGUAUGCGGAAUGCUUGGUGUAGCGGUUAAAUGCAUCGCUCUCACGCAGAACCCCGAUUGCGCAGGCAGCAUACCGGUGCACAACUGACGCUCAGGCACGAAAGCGUGGGUAUCGAACAGGAUUAGAUACCCCGGUAGUC